CCCCACUCCCGAUGCGUCCGCCCCAACGCCGAUAGUCCUCGCCCCUCCCCUCCCCGUUGCGCCCACCCAUGCCCCCUCCGCGCCCGCGCCUCCCCUCAACCACCGCACCGAGAUCGCCGCCGAUCUGAGCUCCCCUCCCCGUUGCGCCCACCCAUGGUCGCUGCUUCGACUUGCUGUUGCUGCUGCUCCUGCACGACGACCAAUGAAGGGAACAACGUGGUCUGCGCGGGCAUGGUGGGCGCGUGGAAGGAGAAGUCGUUGAAGGCGCCGCCGACCGCAGCUCGGCUGUCGUCUUGCUGUCGUCUUGCUGAGACUGAGACGCGAUCAGGUCGGCGGCCUGCUUCCAGUCGAACCUCUGCGCCGGGAUGGCGCCGGUGGUGGGCGACGCGAAGAAGUUCGAGGAAGAGUGGAGCGGGACGGGCGAGUCCAGCAGCUCGGCGGGGCUGAGCCCGGGCGGGAUGGAGAAGUAGGAGGAGGGCGACAUCGGCGGCGGCGAGAUGGGCAGGCUGGGCGGCUGCACGGACUUGAACUUGGGCACGCCUACGCCGCCGCCCCUGGUGGCGCCGCGGUGGAACAGCCCCCUCGGUGAUGGUGGCCAACCCCAAGAUCUAUGUGGCCAAGGCCGUCGAUGCCUUUGUGGAGUUGGCGGAGGCGAGCAGGUUAAUUUUUAGGUACCAGAUCAUCUGAUUUCUCAGAAGCAAAAUGUUGUUUGGAGCUCAGUGACACCAUCUUGUAAUGCCUGUGAUUUUACGGGAAAUGGAGGAUCAUUCUGUCCAUCCCAUGUCUAAGUCUAACCAUGGCUCCUUGUCAGGAAAUGGUUAUGAGAUGAAACAUUCAGGCCAUAAAGUUUGCGAUUGGGAUUCAUCAUCGAAGUCUGAUCGGUCUCACCAAGAAGCAUCAGCAGCAAGUGAAAGCAGUCCAAAUGAACACACAUCGACUCAAUCAGACAAUGAUGAAGAUCAUGGGAAAGAUAAUCAGGACACAAUGAAGCCAGUAUUGUCCUUGGGGAAGGAAGGCUCUGCCUUUUUGGCCCCAAAAUUACAUUACAGCCCAUCUUUUGCUUGUAUUCCUUAUACUGUUGAUGCUUAUUAUAGUGGGGUUGGGGUCUUGACAGGAUAUGCUCCACAUGCCAUUGUCCAUCCCCAGCAAAAUGAUACAACGAACACUCCGGGUAUGUUACCUGUGGAACCUGCAGAAGAACCAAUAUAUGUUAAUGCAAAACAAUACCAUGCAAUCCUUAGGAGGAGGCAAACACGUGCUAAAUUGGAGGCCCAAAACAAGAUGGUGAAAAAUCGGAAGGCUGCAAAGGAGGGCGAGCCUUUUUGGGAUAGCCCUUGGGGCCGUGGAAGACCGGGAUGGCAUAUUGAAUGCAGCGCAAUGAGUGCUCACUAUUUAGGACAUGUAUUCGAUAUUCAUGGUGGGGGGAAAGAUUUGAUUUUUCCUCAUCAUGAGAAUGAGCUUGCACAAAGCCAAGCUGCUUAUCCUGAGAGUGAGGUGAAGUGCUGGAUGCAUAAUGGCUUUGUUAACAAGGAUGAUAAAAAAAUGGCAAAAUCAGAUAAUAACUUUUCACGAUUAGAGAUAUCACUGCUCUUUACCAUCCAUUGGCUUUAAGAUUUUUCUUGAUGCGCACUCAUUAUAGAUCAGAUGUGAACCAUUCUGAUCAAGCACUUGAGAUUGCAUCUGAUCGUGUCUAUUACAUUUAUCAGAUCCUGAAUACUUCCUUUGUCAAAGCUUUCACUUGUCUGAAGGAAGACGUCGGCCUUCUGCUUCUCCAUCACCAUCGUUAUCAUGCAACCUGCUGGAAUGCCACAGCGGGACAGGAGCAUGGGGAUGAGCAGGCGCAAGAUGAUAGCAAGUGGCGCCGGAUCCCGACGUUCGACGACUGGAACCUGCGGGACGACAUGCCCGUCACCCAAUACUUGCAAGCAGGGACUUCUUCAUCAUUGUGCCGCCGACAGAGAAGGACGACGACGAGGAUCUGUUCAAGGUGCCCCUGUGUUCCCUGCCAAGCCCUACAACUACAAGAAGGUGAAACAAAAUAGGACGCUGCAUUAGUUUCUCUCGCCAAUUAAUUACACUCAGGGGGAAAAAGUUUUCUUUCACCAGCUCUGAAGAUAGUAUCAGUUAACAUUGUUUCAUAUCUCCAUUUCCAUAUACAUUAUACCCAGUCGGCACUAGCGAGCGAUGAGAAAGAUACUGAACAAUUCUAUGAUCCAAGCAUGGAAUUAUAAUCAUUGAAACUC